rnacentral:rRNA from 1 species
AUUGAACGUUGGCGGCAGGCUUAACACAUGCAAGUCGAGCGGAGUGAUGGUGCUUGCACUAUCACUUAGCGGCGGACGGGUGAGUAAUGCUUAGGAAUCUGCCUAUUAGUGGGGGACAACAUCUCGAAAGGGAUGCUAAUACCGCAUACGUCCUACGGGAGAAAGCAGGGGAUCACUUGUGACCUUGCGCUAAUAGAUGAGCCUAAGUCGGAUUAGCUAGUUGGUGGGGUAAAGGCCUACCAAGGCGACGAUCUGUAGCGGGUCUGAGAGGAUGAGCCGCCACACUGGGACUGAGACACGGCCCAGACUCCUACGGGAGGCAGCAGUGGGGAAUAUUGGACAAUGGGGGGAACCCUGAUCCAGCCAUGCCGCGUGUGUGAAGAAGGCCUUAUGGGUGUAAAGCACUUUAAGCGAGGAGGAGGCUCUUUUGGUUAAUACCCAAGAUGAGUGGACGUUACUCGCAGAAUAAGCACCGGCUAACUCUGUGCCAGCCGCCGCGGUAA